rnacentral:rRNA from 1 species
AACUCGACUACAUGAAGCUGGAAUCGCUAGUAAUCGCGAAUCAGAAUGUCGCGGUGAAUACGUUCCCGGUCUUGUACACACCGCCCGUCACACCAUGGGAGUCGGAAAUGCCCGAAGUCAGUGACCUAACCGAAAGGAGGGAGCUGCCGAAGGUGGAGCCGGUAACUGGGGUGAAGUCGUAACAAGGUAAC